UCAAACACGAGGCCAUUGUUUCGGCAUAUCACGUUGGCAUAGUUCCCAUUUGUUACCAAGGGUGAGGUCAUGCGGGAAUGUAUAUGGUCAGCCUGGACUUCUUCUCUCCCAAAGCCCAGUCAAUGAGGCCGUGGUCUCCUUAUGGAGGAAAGCAGCAACAUAGCCAGAAAAAUAUUUUGGGAAGGGUUCUCUAGGAACUUUACAUGGCCUCUUCUGCAGCACACUAAGCGUUUCCAGUCACGGAUGUUUGUGAGGUUCGUGCGUGCAAGAACACUUCAAUGCCGAAGCAAUCGCUCAAGUCCCGCGCUUUAAGUGUGAAGGAUAAGCUCCCAAAGUGCCAUUCAAUUAUACUAACUAUGAGGAUGGCGUAGACACAGAGACUUGCCAUGCCUCACAGCCACGGAAUCCGUGCGGGCGUUCGAUGUCGUCCAACUUUGUUCGUGGAGAUUGCAAACCUCGGUGCAUCAGAAUAAAAUAAAGGAUUGUGCUCCUGCUUUCGCAAAACGUC